GUUGAAUUGUAGAGAUUAGAUCGGAUAGCCUAGAUUUGAAAUAUUUAAAUAGCCCAAAAUCCUACUUAUCCAAAACAUUCAGCCUCCACCCCAUUCAAAACAUCCUGAUCUCCCUUCCUGCCCCCACCUCUCAUUUUUUUUAAUUGAUUUGCGACCCGCUACUUCUAUAAUAUUGACGUCGAUAUUUCCACCGUCGAUGGGCGAGCAUAUUUUUGGUGAGUUCACUCUCGGUUUCAUGGUUGCAGUUUGAAGCUAUCAUUCAUCUCGGAUGGCGGAUUCAUUGUAAUGAUAGCUAAAUCUGCUUUUCAUUCGUCGGUGGAGGUGAGUUCUGUUCGUUUGUGGAGAUCUAUGCGUCGAUGUAUCUGCUUUUUGGUGGAGAUCUAGCCGUCAUUAGAGAUCUAGGCGUCGGUGGAUUUUCUUUUCAGUGGAGAUCUAGUUGUCGGUGGAUCUAGGCGCUGAAUCUAAUCUUCGUUCGUCGGAGGAGGUGAGUUUCGUUGGUCGGUGAAGAGAUGAGUUUCAUUCUUCAGUAGAAAUCUAGGCAUCGGUGGAGAUCUUGGCAUUCGAAGACGGCCAUGAUCAGCGAUCUAUCUUCCUCCCUAAAUUUUGGUCCUAUGUAAUUGACUAUUAAUCGACUCUUUCAUUCUUUUUUUUUACCGUUCGUCGUCCGCAAUGAUCGGUGGCCAAACUUGUUCAAAUUUAAUAUGAUAUAUUUUGGGACUUAGAUAGGAUUAUGUUAUGAGUUAAUGUUUGAUGGUUAGGUCUAAUUGAAAUCGAUUUAAUUUAAGUAUUGUUCUGAAGUGGUUAUGUGAUAAUGAUUUUUACUCGAUUAAGUUAUUAAGAUGAAAUGUCAACUCUAAUGUUAACAGUAUCUUGAAUGAAUGAAAUAUUAAAUGAGUUAUGGUUAUGUUAAUCGGAUAUUUCGCAUUCAAAUCCACUUCUACAAAUUAAUAUUCUAAAUGAGACAAGAGAUAAUGAAUUGUAACAUGAUUAACUAUACACAAAUAUAACCUCAAUUGACAUAUUAAAAGAAUAUGAAACGAAAAAUCAUGUUACAUGAACUAUAUUUAAAGUUGAUCGACGGAUAUGACCAAUUCAAGUUUACUUAAUCUUAUUUGCUUAUAGGCUUAAGGGGGAGAGCAUCUGGCAAUGUACGACUGCUCCUUAUCAAUCCUGGACUAGGUGUCGGUUGCAGAAGAUAAGAGAUAUAGUGGUUCAGCACGUCUCUAGCGAUGAGGAUGCUACACCUUUAUGGGAUAGGAAUUACAUGGAUUGCUACUCUGUCUCUCUCGUUUGGAGCUCCAUUCAUACAUCGGGAUAUGUGGUGCCUUGGUUCUCUUUGGUUUGGCAGGCCCCUGCUAUACCUAAGUACUCUUUUGCUAAUUGGUUAGCUGUCUAGCGAAAGUUGGUCACAAAUUUAGAUAUAGCUACUUGGGGGUUGAGUCUGGACUCCUGUUAUCUUUGUAAUACAGGGACUUAUUGCAUUGAUCAUAUUAUGCAUUCUUGUGAUUGAAAGUUAUUGUUUUGGUAUAUUGACCAACUUGCCACGGUGAUGACUGGGAGGAUGAUAUUAUGUUGAAUGGUCGGAAGUUUUUUAGUGAUAAUGGCAAUGCUUGGGGGCUGACCGCUUAUUUUGGAGGUCCAUUGUUAGUCCUCUUUGGUAUGAGAGAUGUAGAAAGCGAGCUCGUGAGCAUCAUAGUUUAUCAAGAGAUAGAUGUCUUCAUAUGCAAGGAGAUAGUGUAUAGAUUACGUUAGUUUUUUGUUUUCCGUCAUUUUUCUUGUGGAACUUUGUAGAGUUUCAUUGGUGGGUUUGCAUCCUACAUUCCAGCAAUUUGAUGUAUAAAAAUAAUAUUAAUAAAAAAGAUAUUGACUCACAACGCUAUUAACUUACGAAAAUGUAACUUCAAUUUACUCUAUUAAAAGAAUCUUGAAUGAAGGAUCAUGUAAUUAUAUGAGCUUAAUUAUAU
rnacentral:lncRNA from 1 species